GCUCCCGUGUCUCCUUUAGCACUCGUGGUUUGCAGACCUCCAGGCCGUCCCCGAUGUGGACUGGAGGGGUCUGGUUGCAGGUGCUUGAGUACCGUCACCAGAUCGGCCCCCCUGAGGCCGGGAGCUCUCCGUGGUGCUGCGGGGACCCGGAGAUUGGGAACCGCCUCGAGCUUGAAGGAUAAAGCCCAGGCAGCAGUGGGAGAUGUCGAGGCACUGCAGGGAGUAGACCUGGCCCUAAUAUAACCCACCCCAGCUCUGCAUAAAGCCGGGAUCCGAGAUCACUAUCGGAAUCCAGUGAACAGGGAGACACAAGCGGGAUGGGGAAAGUUUGGCACCGCGGCAUCCGUAGUGGCAGCAGCCAGCAGAGACACACGGGGGUCCGGGUGGGCGGCAGGGUCGCCCAAAGCCCCGGCCCGGUCGCCUCCUUACCUCCGUGUUUUCGACUGCGUUCUCCGCCAUUUUCCUCCGGAGGAGCAGGCAGCGGGAGGAGUGUUUCAUGCCCAUAAGAGCCAGCAAGGGUUUGGGGAUUCGAGAUAGUAAAGAAAGAGAGAGGGCUGGUAUGGCUUUAAAAGAGAGCCAAAGAAUGCGAGAGGAAGGGGAGGAAAAAAUCCCCAGCCAACCCCUCUGCCAGAACGUCCUCCGCGACAAUCGAGCUCCGUGGAGUCCCCUCUGCGGUCGCCACUUUGUUCACGUUUCCUCGCUCAUCUGCCUCGCAUCCCUUCGCACACUUCCAAGUUCUGGUCGAGCUCGCGACCCCCUCCGCGCCCCUUUCCCCUGCGCAGCGGGCUGGGCGGGAGGGAGGCGGCCCCGCGGGCACGCCGGCUGUAGCCGCGGUUCCGAAGUCCGGCAGGCGGGAGGCGGACGCCAACUCUCCCAACUUCUGCCGAUCGCUGGGCGAAGCAACACGCGUCCUGCUCCGCGCUCCCGGGGGCUGAGCGGGUCAAGGCCUGGACCUCACAGAUGCCCCCCGGAGCGCUCUGCUCUCUUCAUUUUGGUCCUUAUUUGACUUUCUAAUCCAAUUGUCCUGCUUAGUCUGAUCACAACCUGUGAUAGCCAGGAAGUGUAAGAGUAACUGUCCUCAACUAACCCGGAUCCAUUGAGGAAAGGGGCCAGCCCAGGCUCAGCAUGAUGAAUUCCUCCAUCAGAACAGAUCCUCCGGCAAAAAGAAGAGACACUGUCAUAAGUGGGGGUGAGAAGCGAAAACCAGGAAGAGGAGACGAUGAAGAAUGACAAGGAUUAAAGAAAAUGCAGCAAGAAGCUUGGGUUAACUGAACCACAUUGAUUACAUGUUCUGAACAAGAGUAAAUUCAAGUGCAUUAGCCUCAACCUCCUCGGUCCACAGACCUCAAUUCGAGGUGGGCUCAAAUGAGCAAAUCUUUGACAAUACUUGGUCCUUCCUCACGUCUAUCCUGACAUUCUUCCAAAAGUCGUAUGUGGGAAUGGGGGUAUAAGUGCAUCCGAAGAGUGAUUCUUACCCUCUGUUACCUCCUGUUUUCUAAGCUUCUUCUCCCAGAUAAAGACUCAGAUGUUAGAUUAAAAGAGGCUCAGUACUUGUACAAUCGAAUAAGACUAGGAAAGCAAGAUCCACACCCACACAUUGGGCCAGUCCUCUUGCAGAUAAGGAUCCUAGAUCAGAGAGAAGGGGACAUUUGACAAGCUGUGAGAACAUCUGACACCAAUUCUCCAGCCUCCCGACUUUCAACCCAACACUGUCCCUACCCCACACUCCUUCUGCUAGUUCAUGCAUUCUGUGACUAACAGGGGAGGAGGGGAGCUGAAGCAGGCUCCCACCGAAAUAGGCUGCUGCUGUGCCUGAUUGUGUUGCUAUGAGAACCUCAGUGGGGGUGUUCCCUCAGUUCUCUGUUGAAAUUUUUUGCUGUGCUUGGCUUCUCCCCAAGUACAGACACAGCUCCUGUUGGAAUGGGGAAGGGACAUAGAGAGCUGUGUUUUGACAUCAAGAGUUUUCUAUUCCAACUCAAAGCAGUCUGGGCACUGAGUGAGGUUAUCUAGGCCACUAGGGUUGCUCUGUAGUGGCCAGCGGAAUGUGUGACCCUAUCACAGUUGAUGCUCCUGCACUGCUUGAACCCUCCUGGAGCUGAGAUACUGUCCCUGCCGUGGGCCCUCCUAAUUACAAAUUCACAGACUGAAAGGUGGAACUUCAAGUGAUUUGUUACUCAACACUGGAGACAGAGAGAUGGUUCAGGCCUCCAGGUGCACACACUUUGGCACAUAUUCACACAUGGACAUACAAUGAAUAUAUACACACAAUUACCUGAACACCCACCUCCUAGGGUUGUGAAAAUCCAUGCUGUCUGAAAAACACAUAGUAGGCUCUUUCCAGGUCUAUUUUCUCAAAUCCCCUUAUUCUUGAGAAGCCAGCCUUUUCCAUUUCCUUUGCAUAAAUAACAUGUCUUCUUAUCAUGUUAGUUCAAUUAUCCCGCAUGAUACUGACUGGGCAUCUCUUGGGUGCCUUGCUCACAAUAGGAACUUGGCUUAACAAGGCAACAGAACCCACCAACUUCCACUGAGUUCUCAACUUUUUAGUCACCUUGAACAAUUGGAACAAAAUGUUUAUAAAGCUUUUGGAGAGAGUUUGGUGGCAAGCAAGAAAACAUGGGAUGAUAAAGACAUUCAACAUU